UGGUGGAGCGAUUUGUCUGGUUAAUUCCGAUAACGAACGAGACUCUAGCCUAUUAUAUAGUUCGCCGAUUUUUCGAGUCGGCGUCAACUUCUUAGAGGGACAAGUGUCGUAUGGCACGCGAGAUUGAGCAAUAACA
rnacentral:rRNA from 1 species